CUGACGAGGAGACGCGAAGAACCCCGCCCUUUAAUCGGGCACCUGGGACGGGGGGAGCGAGUGGUGCGACCGGCUUUUCGUCUG
rfam:Deinococcus peraridilitoris DSM 19664, complete genome.